GGCUCAGGACGAACGCUGGCGGCGUGCCUAAUACAUGCAAGUCGAGCGGUCCCUUCGGGGAUAGCGGCGGACGGGUGAGUAACACGUAGGUAACCUGCCUGUAAGACCGGGAUAACUAUCGGAAACGAUAGCUAAGACCGGAUAGCUGGUUUCUCCGCAUGGAGGAAUCAUGAAACACGGGGCAACCUGUGGCUUAGAGAUGGGCCUGCGGCGCAUUAGCUAGUUGGUAGGGUAACGGCCUACCAAGGCGACGAUGCGUAGCCGACCUGAGAGGGUGACCGGCCACACUGGGACUGAGACACGGCCCAGACCCCUACGGGAGGCAGCAGUAGGGAAUCUUCCGCAAUGGACGCAAGUCUGACGGAGCAACGCCGCGUGAGUGAUGAAGGUUUUCGGAUCGCAAAGCUCUGUUGCCCUAGACGAAUAGCAAGGAGAGUAACUGCUCUUUGUGUGACGGUAUAGGAGAAGAAAGCCCCGGCUAACUACGUG
rnacentral:rRNA from 1 species